rnacentral:rRNA from 1 species
AACGUACGCUGGCGGCACGCCUAACACAUGCAAGUCGAACGCAGUAGCAAUACUGAGUGGCAGACGGGUGAGUAACAUGUGGGAAUCUGCCUUGUGGUUCAGGACAACAUUGGGAAACCGAUGCUAAUACUGGAUAAGCCCUUACGGGGAAAGUUUUAAUGCCAUAAGAUGAGCCCGCAUUUGAUUAGUUAGUUGGUGAGGUAAUGGCUCACCAAGACAAUGAUCAAUAGCUGAUCUGAGAGGAUGAUCAGCCACACUGGGACUGAGACACGGCCCAGACUCCUACGGGAGGCAGCAGUGGGGAAUCUUGCACAAUGGAGGAAACUCUGAUGCAGCGAUGCCGCGUGAGUGAAGAAGGCCUUUGGGUUGUAAAGCUCUUUUGUAGGGGAAGAUAAUGACUGUACCCUAAGAAUAAGGUCCGGCUAACUUCGUGCCAGCAGCCGCGGUAAUACGAAGGGACCUAGCGUAGUUCGGAAUUACUGGGCGUAAAGCGCGCGUAGGCCGUUGAGUUAGUUAAUUGUGAAAUCCCAAAGCUUAACUUUGGAACUGCAAUUANNCUGCUCGACUAGAGUUUGAUAGAGGAAAGCGGAAUACAUAGUGUAGAGGUGAAAUUCGUAGAUAUUAUGUAGAACACCAGUUGCGAAGGCGGCUUUCUGGAUCAACACUGACGCUGANGCGCGAAAGUAUGGGUAGCAAAGAGGANUAGAUACCCUCGUAGUCCAUACCAUAAACGAUGAUUGCUAGAUGUUGGAAAUUUAUUUU